rnacentral:tRNA from 1 species
GCGAGUUAGGAUUCCCGGGAUUGAUUUGAAGUCAGUUUGUAUUAUGUUUAAUUCAUAAAUCUCGUU